CCGAGAGAACGUUUUGAAUUCAUUGCAGAAUUUGUGGAGAAGGUUUGCAGAUUCAGCGCAACCCAAAGUUGUUCAUUAUCCUGGGACAACAUAAAUAAUGGAAUCAACUUGACUUUGGAAAUAGCAAAGGUGUUGUUGUUGCUGGUUUACAAUGACAUGAUGAGUGAACGGUGCACCCUUAAAACAUUGGAC